AGUGAACGCUGGCGGUAGGCCUAACACAUGCAAGUCGAACGGCAGCACAGUAAGAGCUUGCUCUUACGGGUGGCGAGUGGCGGACGGGUGAGGAAUACAUCGGAAUCUACUUUUUCGUGGGGGAUAACGUAGGGAAACUUACGCUAAUACCGCAUACGACCUACGGGUGAAAGCAGGGGAUCUUCGGACCUUGCGCGAUUGAAUGAGCCGAUGUCGGAUUAGCUAGUUGGCGGGGUAAAGGCCCACCAAGGCGACGAUCCGUAGCUGGUCUGAGAGGAUGAGCGGCCCCCCUGGAAACGGGACAAGGGCCCGACUCCUACGGGAGGGAGCAGUAGGGAAAUUUUGGAAAUGGGCGCAAGCCCGACGCAGCCCCGCCGCGGGGGUGAAAAAGGCCUUCGGGUUGUAAAACCCUUUUUUUUGGGAAAAAAAAAUGUGUAAUUAACUCCCCCCGUUUUGACGGUACCCAAAAAGAAAGCCACCGCUAAAUUCGUG
rnacentral:rRNA from 1 species